AGAGUUUGAUCAUGGCUCAGGACGAACGCUGGCGGCACGCUUAACACAUGCAAGUCGAACGAGAGAAGAGGAGCUUGCUUUUCUGAUCUAGUGGCGGACGGGUGAGUAACACGUGAGCAAUCUGCCUUUCAGAGGGGGAUACCGAUUGGAAACGAUCGUUAAUACCGCAUAACAUAAUUGAACCGCAUGAUUUGAUUAUCAAAGAUUUAUCGCUGAAAGAUGAGCUCGCGUCUGAUUAGCUAGUUGGUAAGGUAACGGCUUACCAAGGCGACGAUCAGUAGCCGGACUGAGAGGUUGAUCGGCCACAUUGGGACUGAGACACGGCCCAGACUCCUACGGGAGGCAGCAGUGGGGAAUAUUGCACAAUGGAGGAAACUCUGAUGCAGCGAUGCCGCGUGAGGGAAGAAGGUUUUAGGAUUGUAAACCUCUGUCUUCAGGGACGAAAAAAGACGGUACCUGAGGAGGAAGCUCCGGCUAACUACGUGCCAGCAGCCGCGGUAAUACGUAGGGAGCGAGCGUUGUCCGGAAUUACUGGGUGUAAAGGGAGCGUAGGCGGGAUCGCAAGUCAGAUGUGAAAACUAUGGGCUUAACCCAUAAACUGCAUUUGAAACUGUGGUUCUUGAGUGAAGUAGAGGUAAGCGGAAUUCCUAGUGUAGCGGUGAAAUGCGUAGAUAUUAGGAGGAACAUCAGUGGCGAAGGCGGCUUACUGGGCUUUAACUGACGCUGAGGCUCGAAAGCGUGGGGAGCAAACAGGAUUAGAUACCCUGGUAGUCCACGCCGUAAACGAUGAUUACUAGGUGUGGGGGGACUGACCCCUUCCGUGCCGCAGCAAACGCAAUAAGUAAUCCACCUGGGGAGUACGACCGCAAGGUUGAAACUCAAAGGAAUUGACGGGGGCCCGCACAAGCAGUGGAGUAUGUGGAUUAAUUCGAAGCAACGCGAAGAACCUUACCAGGUCUUGACAUCGUAUGCAUAGCUCAGAGAUGAGUGAAAUCUCUUCGGAGACAUAUAGACAGGUGGUGCAUGGUUGUCGUCAGCUCGUGUCGUGAGAUGUUGGGUUAAGUCCCGCAACGAGCGCAACCCUUACUGUUAGUUGCUACGCAAGAGCACUCUAGCAGGACUGCCGUUGACAAAACGGAGGAAGGUGGGGAUGACGUCAAAUCAUCAUGCCCCUUACGACCUGGGCCUCACACGUACUACAAUGGCUGUCAACAGAGGGAAGCAAAGCCGCGAGGUGGAGCGAACCCCUAAAAGCAGUCUUAGUUCGGAUUGUAGGCUGCAACCCGCCUACAUGAAGUCGGAAUUGCUAGUAAUCGCAGAUCAGCAUGCUGCGGUGAAUACGUUCCCGGGCCUUGUACACACCGCCCGUCACGCCAUGGGAGUCGGUAACACCCGAAGCCUGUAGUCUAACCGCAAGGAGGACGCAGUCGAAGGUGGGAUUGAUGACUGGGGUGAAGUCGUAACAAGGUA
rnacentral:rRNA from 1 species